rnacentral:rRNA from 1 species
UACGUAGGGGGCAAGCGUUGUCCGGAUUUACUGGGCGUAAAGAGCGUGUAGGCGGCCAAACAGGUCCGUUGUGAAAACUGGAGGCUCAACCUCCAGACGUCGACGGAAACCGUAUGGCUAGAGUCCGGAAGGGGAGAGUGGAAUUCCUGGUGUAGCGGUGAAAUGCGCAGAUAUCAGGAAGAACACCUAUGGCGAAGGCAGCUCUCUGGGACGGUACUGACGCUGAGACGCGAAAGCGUGGGGAGCGAACAGG